rnacentral:lncRNA from 1 species
CCUUCUUCGCCGCCUCCAGGUUCUCUGGUUGCCCCUUCCACGUCUUCAACACCGAGUUCUGCAGCGCCCUCGCGUACGAGAACGACACAUGCCAUGGGUUCGGGCUCUGGUUCAUCGCAUUCAGGUUCAGCGUCGCCUCCACCUCCGACUGCCCUCCGGACAAAAACUGCACCACAACCCCACGUGCUCAGAAUCGCCUCCCUCGCCCAUCCCCACUACUCAUGCGUCGCACCCAACACUCCUGCAUCCCCCCCCCCCAUCAACCCUCCCACGUUCACCCUCCAAUUCCUUGCACCACACUCUGCUUACCAUGAUUCCGGGCACCGCGGGUGGCACUCGCCUCCUCAACAUCUUCAGCGUGUACUCUGCCACCUGCUCCGGGGUGGCUCUCUCGGGGCACUCUGCGCCCGGAGUCACCAUGCUGGGCUUUAACAGAAUUCCCUCCAGCAGGACGUUGUUCUCGCCCAAGUAGUAGAACACCUUCGACCACACCUUCUCGGCCACCUCCAACGUUCUGUCGAUUCCGUGGCUUCCGUCCAACAGCACCUCGGGCUCCACGAUAGGCACCAACCCGGUGUCCUGCAUUCACACCCGAUACUCACCACCAUCACGCCUCACAUCCUGGAAACUCACCCCAUCUUUCACACCCACUGCACUCCACGCAACUACCGCACAAUUGUCCAAAAACAUACCAAUCCACACUCAAGCAUCCCACUGUCCUUCAAUGCACAGCCUGCUCUCCAUGCUCAAGCCCAAGCCCCACAUCACAAUGCUUCUCAUUUCACACCACCCCCGACCACCAAAUGCGACCCUCCUCCAGCUUUCGCAUUCGUUGCCACCCCCCACGCACAAUUACCCCCACCUUAUAACUUCCAGUUCGUCGCUGGAAACAAUCCCAUCCCGCAACGCCAACCUCACUCCUAGCUACCCAACAUUCUUGACGUUCUAGCACAUCUCUGCCCAAAACCCCUUCCAACAAACACAACGCCUUCCCCCGCCACCAGUUCCCACGUACUUGACAAAUAGCUGCGUAACGCGCCAGCCCCCAUGCGGCCUCUGUCACCGCCAAAUCCGACGGCCCGUUGGGAAUGCUCACCACCGUCCUCCUGCACGACCAACCACGCCUACCGCUCAGAGACCAACCCCACACCACACUCCGAGUGCGCCAACACAUCCAUCCAUUCAACAAAAACCCACGCCCACGCCCACGCCCCAAACCAAUCCAUCAGCAUUCUCGCCUCUACGCAUCCACCGCACGCCGCGAUCGUCACACCACAACAACCAUACUGGGAGACCGUUCACACCACCAUUCUUUCACCCACCCACUCACUCACUCUCUCACUCACCACUUCGCAAACCUCGCUCCCUGCUUGUAGUACGCCGCUGUCCGAGACGCCAACCCGUCCAGCCCCUGGCACCACGACUCCUCGUUGGAUCCCGCCAGAGGCACCAGACCCUUGUCCACCUUAAUUCCGGGCACGAUCCCUCCCUCCACCAGGCAGUCCACCAUCUUCUUCCCGUCGCUCGUCGACUGGUACAGAGUCUCCUCGAACAUGAUCGCUCCAGAGAUGUACUCCCCCAGCCCCGGCGUCGUGCACAGCAGCUGCCUGUACGCCUGCCGGUUCACCUCGUUGUUCUCCAGCCCGAUCGACGCCAACCGCUUCCCGCACGUCGCAUUCGACUCGUCGAUCGCCAAGAUCCCCCGCCCGGGAGACGCGAUCGUCCUCUGCACCCACCACCCACAAUCCAACGCAUCAGCCCCUUCUUCCAUCGAACUCAUACCUACAGCCACUAAUUCCACUCGCUCCCCUCUCCCCCCCUCUCUGGCCUCCUAACCAUCCGAACCCGCAUCGACCCUCAACCCCCCCACACCCACGACCACACCCGAAACGAGCAACAUCACACAUGUCGCGAUGCACCCUGCUCCAAACCCUCCGCAAACUCCAUCACCAUCGCAAACCCCACCAAACCACCAUGGAGACCUACCGCGGUCUUGAUGAGCUCCUCGUCGUAACCAGCGGCCCGCACAGCGAACGCCACAUUCUGGGGCCGACCCGAAACAGCAGCCUUCUGCUUCAACGAAGCCCCACAGAAACUCGACUGCAGCCCGGAGGCCUGCUGCAUCGCGACGGCGGCUGCCAUGAUUUACAGACGCUGGUGAUGCUGGAGAGCUGGAUCGUUGCAGACUCUCGUGUUCGUGCGCAACUGCUUCGAUCGAAUCCGUCAACUGUGGAGGUUCAACCUCUUCUUUUACGCCCUACGAUGCUCCGGAGGACGAAAAGUGGAAUCUUGCAAGGCAACAACACGAGGAGGAGAGGGGACAAGCAUGAAACCAACUCAAGGAUGGCUGUACUCCGAAGCACCUCGCAGCCCCCUCGUUGUGGGCACCACCUUCCAGUGGCGCUUAGAAGGUUCCGCCCCCACCCGCACUUCGCAAGCCCCGUCCCUUGCGUGCGUUUUGAUUCCCUGCUUCGCAACCCAGGCGCGACAUGCACCUCGGCCGUGGCCCCAUUCUUUCAUUCAUUCAUUCAUUUUGGCUCCCCUUUGCUGCUCUUGGUUGGACACUCCGGAUUCCAGAGCAUCCUUUCUCGGGAAUCCGUGGGUUCUGGAUAGUUACUGCGGAAUUAAGUGCAUUUUCUAGAUCUAUUACCGUAUUAGUUGCUUGCAUUGAAAGGCUGUCGGAUUGCGGUUUUAUGUAACUCCAUGAUUUUAGGUACCUUGUUGAUGUGACUUUUCUUGUUCAUUUCUGUUUGUGUGAAAGACCACAUUCAAAUUUCAAGUGAUACACAUUUAUUGCUGUAGUUUUUCCUUGAAAAUAUGUGAAUAUAUAUAAAUAUAAGUAUAUAUAUAAAUAUAAGUAUAUAUAUAAAUAAAUGUUAAAAUGACCCAUCCAUUUACUACAUCAAUUUAUCCUAUCGUAUUCAUCAUCAAAAAAUAGAUCAUCUCCAAAAACCAUCAUUACAAUCAUGGCCCUCAUCCCAACCUCCCUUGUUCUCAUCUUUGCUCCCUAUGUUCUCAACUUUCUUCAUUCCUCAAUUCCUCUCCGCCUAUUUCUAGCCUUUAUUCAAACUUCCAUCAUUUCUCCUCCUUCCCUACAAUAGAGCAGAUCAAUUUAAUAAGUAGAUGGGUUAUUUUAAUAUUUUCUUAUGUAUAUACAUAUAUAUAUAUAUAUAUAUAUAUAUAUAUAUAUUUCACGAGUUCUAAAAACUUUUUUUCAAUAAAUAAUAAUAACAACAAUUAUAUCAUUUUUAAAAAAAAUUAUUUUCAUCUAAAUAAAAUAUUCUUUUAAAAAAUUAAUUAAUAUUAAUAUAAUAAGAUAUUUUUUAAAUUAAUUAAUACAUAUUUGUAAUUCUUAUCGUUGUUGUUGUUUUUAUUUUAUAAUUUUAAAACUUGGUAUGCAUCUUAGUAAUUUUGAAUAUUGCUUGUAUGUUUUUUCUACAUCUUUAUUAACAUAUUCUUGUAAUUUUAAUUUUAAUUUUUUUCCCAACAUGUUGUAGAUUGUUUUAAAUAAAAUUAAAAUUUAAAAUUAUAUUUAAUUCAUAGAGUUUGAUUGUGAUUCAUGUAUUUAAUGAUUUUCUAACAUUUUAAUAUUUACUUUCAAAUAUUUAUUCUUUAAGACAUUUGUCAUAGAGAUAGAAGAAAAAAAUUAUGGAUGUUACAUUUGACAGAAGUGAAAAUAGAUUUAUAACUAUUCUAGAUCUUCAUGAGCUUAUAAACAUUCUUUAGAUGGAAAUCUCACAUAUUUCUAAUAUCAAUUAUAGAAGUUAUAUUCCUAUAUCUAAAAAAGAAAUCAAUAUUAAUGUUCAAAGUCUAAUUCAAAAAGUUGUGCAAUUUAGAAAAGCAAAUAGAUCAAUCUCACAAUUGAUUUUGAAAAGUCUUAUUACUACAAUUAUGAAAAAAGCAAGGAUUAGCAUACUAGAGAAAUUUAAUAGAACAAGAUCAAAAUUUUGAAGAUUUUUACAACAAAUUAAGUUCUAUCUAAAAUUGCAUCCUUCUCAAUAUUUUAAUAAAUUUACUCAAGUUGGAUUCAUAGGCAUAUUUCUAUUUGAAAGUGUUCUUUCUUGAUUUUUAUCUUUAAUUAAAAAAAAAAAAAACUCACAACUCCUUUGUAAUCUAAAUUUAUUCUUAGAAGUGUUUACAACUAUAUUUUUAAAAAUUUAUUGAAAAAUAAUAGUAAAAAUAAAAUUCCUAACUUUAUAGCAAGGAUCAUGUUCAACUAUUACACAUAUUGAUAAAUUCAAAAACCUUCUUUGCAACGUAGAUUAAAAUGACAAAACUCUUAUUAAUCAAGUUUGAUAUGAAUCAAAAGAUAAUAUUGAAGACUUAUUAUUGAUAAUGCCAAGAAUAAACAUAUUAGAGCAAUUUAUAGCUUAAGCUAUUCCAUGCAAUAAUUACAUUUUUGAAAGACAUGAAGAACAAAGAUUUGAAUAUAGAAGAACAAGUCAAGUCAUGAUAUCAAUUCUUAAGUUUUUAGAAACUUAUUCAUCAAGGUCAAAAUCUAUGCAAAUUGAUAUGAUAUAUUUUAAAUAUCUCACUCAACAAGAAAAGAAUUGAUAUUGUGAAAAUGGUUUGUAUUUAUAUUUUGAAGAAUCUAAGCAUACUAAUAAUUUUUUUUCAAAGAAGCAAUGAUGUUACAAGAUGAAAAGUAUGAUUGCAAAAGAAGACAAUGUAUUAAAAAACAAGUUUUUCUAACUACAAUAAAAAUCAUGCAAUUAAAAUCUUGUUCAAUAUCUAAUAAAAGUUUGAUUUUUUCUUUAUAUUCUUCACCUUGUUAAAAAAUUGAUUUUUAUUUAGGACUAACAAACUACAAAGUCUUUUUCUUUUUGAAUUGAAAUUUUUAAAUUUAUUUUAUAUAUAAUUAUUUUAUUAAAAAAAUUAUAAAAAAAUUAUAAAAAAAUAAAGCUUUGCAUAUAUAAAUUAUAGAUAGUCAAAUAAUUUGUUAUCCAUGAAAAUAUUUAUUUAAAAAAAAUAACUUAUAAACAUAAAAAAUUAUAAUAUUUAAUAUAAUUACAUAUAUUUUUAAUCUAAUUAUUUUAGAUUUAUUAUGAUUAAAAAAUUAUAAUAUUUAAAUAGAAUAUAUUUUUUGUUAUCUUAAUUUAUUUCAUAUCAUAAUCUAGAACUUUAUUAUUUAAAUAAAAAGAUAUCAAUUUAAUACAACCAAAUUCUUAUUAGUAGGUGCAAGAAUUUUUAUGCAUGUUAUAAAAGAAUGGUGACUUUUUGUUAUUUAUGCCUCACUUAUUUCUAAUGGUGAAAAGACUUUAAGUAGCAUUCUAAGCCAACAUCAAGACUAUUAAGAUGUUUUUGAAAACAAAAUGUAUAUAUUCUUCCAAAGCAUUGUCUUUAUGAUUAUUCAAUUGAUCUUCAAGGAAGAGUUCAAUUGUCAUUUGGACCAAUCUAUAGCUUAUCACAGAGCAAGUUAGAUGCAGUUAAAAAAUAUAUUGAUAAAAAUUUGGUUAAAAACUUCAUAUGUUAUUUAAAAUCUUUAGGAAGAAUUCUUAUUUUAAUUGUAAAGAAAAACAAUAAAUCACUAUGGAUGUAUGUGAAAUAUUGAAAACUCAAAAAGAUCACUAUCAAGAAUAAGUCUCCUCUAUUUUUGGUAUCAAGAUUUUUUAAUCAAUUAAAUCAAAGAAAGAUCUAUAAUAAAAUAGAUCUAUAAGAAAUAUAUAACCUAGUAUGUAUCAAAUAAGGAAAUGAAUAAAAGAUUGUGUUUCAAAUUAAGCAUGGACUUUUUAGAUAUAAUGUUAUAAGAUUAAUAAACACAUCAAUUUCUUUUCAACAUCUAAUAAAUGAUGUUUUUUUAAUAAUUUCAUGAUGAUUUUUUUAUUUUUUAUCUACAAAAUAUUUUGAUAUAUUCUAAAAACACAAAAAAUUAUAAACUUUAUGUUUAUUGUCUAUUAUAAAAACUUAGAAAUACAUGAUUAUAUGCCAAAUUAAAAAGUGUAUAUUUUACACUAUUGAAAUUGACUUCUUAAGAUACAUCAUUUCAAAUGAUGAUCUUGUUAUAGAAUCUUAACAAAUUCAAAUUAUCAUAUAUUGGAAGAUUUUAAGAACAUUAAAGAUCAAUAUUUUUUGAGAUUUUUUAAUUAAUAUUAGAUCUUUAUAAUAAUUUUUUUUAGUUAUAGCUUCAUUUAUAUAUUUUACUUAUGAAGAAAAAUUUAAGUGGAAUAAAGAAGCUCAAACAUCAUUUAAAGUUUAAAAGACAGCUUUUAUUUCUAUACCAAUCUUGUAUUGUAUCAAAUUUUGUAAGAUAUUUUUUAUAGAAACAAAUGUAUCAAACUUUGCCUUGAGUUUGGUUUGUCAUUAAUGGGAGCAAAUGAAAAACUUUAUUCAAUAGCUUUUUAUUUAAGAAAUUUUUAGCAAAUAAGAUCAACUAUAAGAUUUAUAACAAAGAAUUUCUUGUAAUUAAAGAUUUAUUCUAAAAAUAAUAAUAUUAUUUAAAAGAUGCUUCUAAUCUAUUUAUUUUUUAUACAAAACACAAGAAUUUCAAAUAUUUUAUAUUAACAUGUGUUUUAAAUUGACGCCAAGCUCAAUAGAACAUGUCUUUAUUAAAAUUUGAAUUCAAUAUCACUUAUCAACCAAAAAAACAAUAAACUUUGUCAAACAUAUUUUUUAAAUGUUCUUAUCUUAAAUAAAAAGAAGAAGAUGCAGCUUUUGAUCAAUAGAGAAUGAUUUUCUUGAAGCAAGAGCAAUUUCAUCUUUAAAAAAUAAAAUCAACAUUAGCUAUUGAUUCAAUCUGUUUUAAGCAAGUUCAAUCAAGUAUGUCCUCUAAUCCUCUUCUUUAUGAUAUUAAGAUCAAUUCUUUUAAGUCUCAUGAUACUUCUAAGUUUAAGUUGAAAAAUAAUCUACUCUAUUCAAUAUAAUAAGACUUUGAAACUCUUAUCUAGAGAUUUUUGGUGACUUUAAACAUAUAAGGUAGUUAAAAACUUUGUUAAAUUAUAUAACAUUUGCUCAAAUUCAAAAACUUCUUAUCAUCCAUUUUUUAGACUUCUUCAAGUAUUACUUAUACCAAAACAAUUAUAGUCUUUUUUUUCUAUGCAUUUAUAAAGAAUUUAUUAAUUUCAAGUUUUUAUGAUUUUAUAUUUGUGAUAAUAGAUUAUUUCACCAAGAUGGCAUAUUUUCUAUUAUGUACAAAAUCUAUCACAAAUACAAAAAUAGCUAAAUUUUUCUUUGACAAUAUUUAUAACUAUUAUGGAAUGCUAAAGAAUAUCAUAUUAGAUAGAAUUAUUUAAUUUGUAUUAAGAUUUUGAAAAAAUAUUUUAAAGAUAUUAAAGAUUAAUAUAAAAUUAUAUUUAAUUUUCUAUACUAAAACUAAUAAAAAAUAAAAUGGAUAAAUUAAGUUUUUAAGUAGUAUUUAAAGUAUACUAUCAACUACCAUUAAGACAAUUAGACAAUUCUUUUGCCAUUGGCAAAUUUUUUUCAUAAUUAUAUAAUAUUUUUUUAUUCAAAAAAUAUAUUUCUUUGGUAAUUAUAUUUAUUAUGGAUGAUUUAAUACUUUUGACUUUUUAAAAGUUGAAUAUCCUAAAAUAAAAGAUUUAAAAAACUAUUUAUUAAAGUAUUAUGCAACAACGAAGGUACAGUUAAAAGAAGUUCAAAAACAAAACAAAAAAUCAAUGCAUAUGCUUAUUAUAAGGAAUAACCUCAAUUUGAUGUCAACAAUAAAGUUUGAUUACUUUGUCAAAAUAUCAAUAUUAUUUAUCUUUGUGAUAAGUUGGAUUAUUAUAAAUUUAGAUUAUUUCUUUUUUAUAAAUAAAUAAAUCUUAUUGCAUAUUGAUUACACCUAUUCAAGUCUAUUUUAUAUUUGAUAUUUCUCUUUUUGAGCCAUACAAGAUAACAACUAUAUCAAGAAAAAGAAAAAUGUCAUUUCUUUCUACAAAAGUGGAUAAUAAUCAAGAGCUUGGAAUCAAAAAAGUCUUAGAUUUAUGGGGGGGUUGAAAUAUCUUGUAUAUUAGCACAAAUGUGAUAUUAAUAAACAUACAUAGAAGCCAUCUAAGAAUCUUGUAAAUACAUUAAAAAAGAUUGAUACUUUUUAUUGGCAACAUCUAUUAAAAUCAAGAUGAAGAGUCAAAUAAUUUGUUGUUAUGAAAAAAAAAAAGGUUUAAUAAAGAUUAUAUUCUAUCUUCUAUCUUUUUUUGUGAUUUUUAUGUAUUUGUGGUACUAAAGAGAUAAAGAAUAAAAAAAAUUAGCAAAUUAAAUUCAAAAGCUAUUAUUUAUUGAGUUAUCUAACAAUACAUUGAUAUUGUUUUGGCCUUCAAGACAAUGUAAUAAAGAUGAAGAUUCUAAAAUUUAAUAUGUUUUUUUCCUAAAUAGAUGGUGAGAUGCAAUAUGAUUGAUAUUACAACCUUGGAAGAGAUUUCCAAUGUUUGGUGAUAAAAAUAAAAGUAGAAACUACCUUUGAUGGUAUUUCAAAUGUUUAUUUUUUUAUUUUUUUUUAUUUUUUUUAAGAAAGUCAUAAAGGCUUUUACAAUGAUCAAAUAUAAGGUUAGUCUUCUUAUCUUAACGUGAGGCACUAUCAAUGGUUAUAAGAACUUAUCAACAAUCUUUAAAGUGAAUAAAGAUUAGAAUAUGUGACAAAUAUAAUAUAUUGCAUCUUAGACUUUAUUAACUUGUACAUAUUGUUCCUUCUGGAACUUGUUUCUAAAAUGGAAGAAGAGAAGGAAGGAAGGAUGAAAGAGAUAAUGUUACAAAUAUACAUAAUUGCUUAAAUAAGAAAUAUUAAGUAGAAUAUAAAUACGGAUAGAUCUAAUAAUAUCUUAUAAAAAAGCUUUUUAGAAGCUUUAUAGAUAAGGAUUUGAUUUUAUAUGUGUUUAUAGUUGAUUGAUAGGUUAAAAAUUUGGCCAACAAGUUGAUCUUAUUUUGUACAUAUCGGCAAAUUGUGGUAAAAAUUAGCUAUGUAGUGCACUUGUAAGAAACUUGUCCUACAAGUUAGAUACAUAUUUUUUCAGUUAGAUAUGUAUUAGUGGUCUUAUAGAAUAUCACCACAUAGCUCUUAGUUAGAUAAUAUAUAUGGAUGAAAGAAUGAAAUCUUUUCACUCUUAUCUAUUUUUUUUUUUUUUUUCUUAAUUUUGUUUCAAGAAUCUCUAGUCUUCUUAUUUUUGGCAACAAACACUUUAAUUUAAUAUUAUACUAUCUUUGAAUGAUCAUCUACUUUAUUCUAAUUAUACAAGAAUGUAUUGAUGUUUUGAUUCUUUGUAAUUUACGUCCUUAAAAAAUCUUUAUUAAUUCUAGUAUUUGUAAUUAAUAUACAAUUGAAUUAACAUAUUUAUGGAUAAUAAAUAGGAUUAGCUUUUGAUAAUUUAAUUUGUUGCAAUAUUGAUUAUUCUUGAUAUUCUAUUAAAGUAAUCAUAUCUUAUUAUGAUUUAAAAUAAAAAUUAUUAUUUUCUAAAAAUAUCUUAAUUUAUUUUUAUUAUUAUAUAAAGCUAUUUAUUUUAAAUUUUAAAUCUUUUGUUUUUAGAUUUUUGAAUUUUUAAAAAUAUAAAAUAUAAAAUUAUAAAAAUAAUCAUAAUUAAUAAAAAAUAAAGUUUUCUGAAUAUUUAAAAAUAUUAUACUAUUCUAAGUAUUUAAUUAGAUAACAAGUUAGGCAAUAAUUUAAGAUAUAUGUUGACGUAAAAUACUUAAGGUUUUUAAAAUCAAUAUGAAUUAGAAAUAAAUAAGAAGUAUCUUUUAGAUAUUGUUGUUAUUUUUGGAAUGAAUCCACUAUAGCAAAAAAUUCUUUUUUGUGGAUCUUAUAAUUAAACUUAGUUAUUAAGAAAUUUUCUAAAUUCAAAUUUAUAGAAUGAAUUAUAUUAUUUAUAUACAUUUAUGAUAGAAUUAUAUCUAAUGUAAAAUUUUGUACAUUUGUUUCCAAAAAAAAUGGCUUCAAAAAUUUUAAUAGUAAAAAAUAAGAAUUAUUAUAAAAACCGUUUUUAAACUUUAAAAUGCUACUUUUGGAUCUUAAUUCUAUUUUAAUUUUUAUUUAUGUAUUACGUAUAAAAUUAAAACAAAAACUUAAGAAAAAUUAAUAAAUAUUUGAUAAUAAUAUGCAAGUUCUAAAAAAAUUAGAAAUUAUAUAUUAUUCUUUAAGUUUUCUAAUCUAUAACAAUUUUUAGUUUCUUUAUAUCUACUUGCAAACAUAAUUUAUGAUGAUUUAUAUUAAAAAGUAUACUUGAAUUUUUUUUAAUGCACAUUUUUUAAUCUUGGUGUAUAAUUCCACAUCUCUAAGUUAUUAUAGUGGAAGACAAACAUGUUACUAAUGUUCUUCUAUAUUUAUAGAAUAGAUAAGAAUAUUAUUCAAAUAACACACAAUAAAAUUAUAUACAAAUUUAUUAAAUAUAUUUUUAUCAAGUAGUAGAAAAUAGCUUGAAAUUUGUAAGUCUAAAAGGCAUGUCAUCAUAUUCAAAAUAGCCAUAUCUAAUUUGAAGUACAAUCUACUAUUUAUCUCUUUUUUGUAAUAUGCAUCAAAUUAUAAAGUUCUUAAAGAUCUAUUUUAAUAUAUAUUUUGAUUUUAUUAGCUUCAUCAAAGAGACAUAAAUUAGACAUAAAUAAUAAAAAUUCUUGAUGAUUGAUUUAUUAUAUCUACAUUAAUCUACAUACUUCUAAAAAGAUUUUUUUUUUUUUUUUCUUUAAAAAUAAUAGCAUACUUCCAAGAGAUUUUAAAUAUUCAAUAAAAUUCAUUCUGAGAUUUUUGUUAAUACAUUCCUUCAAAGUAGCAUACUCAUUCUGUAAUAAGUUAUAAAUUGAUUCAAAAGGUACUUAAGCUUCUUUUUGAAAGUCAAUUAUGUAAUUAUAAGGUUGGUGCUUUGGUAAUAUAUUAAAUUUUUCUAAUAUAUCUUGAUACUUCUUAUAUUAUUUUGAUAUUCUUGUGUAAUCUCUACUUUAAUAAAAACAUGAUGAUAUAUAAAUGAUAAAUGAAUUUCUUUAUAUUGUGGCUUAUAUAUAUAACUUAGUUUCUACAAAUAGAGAUUUGAAUUUUUUAGUUGUUGUUGUGUUAAGUAAAAUUUAGCUUGGAAAUUCACAAGGCAUUUAGUUGUGAAAGGAUUUGAUUCUAUCUCAAAGUUGGAUUUACAAUUCAAAAAAAGAAAACAUAACAUAUUCAAUAACACAUUGGCAAUCUUGAGCUACUCUUAAAAAAUUAAAAAAAUCUAAUUAAAUUCAAAAUAAAUGACAAGAAAUCUAAAAUAGAUCUAAAAGAUAUGCUAAAAAAUAAUUUAAAAAAAAUCCUACAUAAAUUCAAAGAAAAAGUUUAAAUAAUAUUAAAGAAAUCCAAAAGAUACCUUCAAAAAAUUCAAAUAUACCCUUAAGAAGUCCAAAAGAUAUCCUAAAAGAACCCAAAAUAAACUCUAGUCAAAAUUUAAAUAAAUACCUUAGCGGUUGUAAACUUCAAUAAUUUUAUACUAACCAUUGAUCUUAAUUGAAAUUUCUCACACACCUUAAUUUAAACUACCUUAGUUAACAACAAGCAUACAAAUUUUUAAAAGAAUCUAAUUAUAAAUUCAAUGAUAUGGCUCAUAAUCUACUCUAAUAUUGGUUUUUCUCUUCUAACAUUAAUAAAAAAAUUCAGCUUGAGUAUCUCCUUGAACAAUUAACUUCUUUUCAAAAAAAUUACGAAUUUAACAAUCUCGACCAUCUAGUAGAACAUACAAGAAUUUUUUUAAUCCAACCAAAAAAUUGCUUAAAAUCUAAAAAUCCUCACUGACCUUCAAAACCCAAUUUUUUAGAUACUAACUUACUUGAACUUUAAUUUCUUUUGAUCUUAUUCUUGAAUUGAGGUGAAAUAUAUUUCCAAAUUUAGCAUGAUGAUAUGCAUAAAUCCAUAAAAUUUCAUCCAUGGAUUUGCUAUAAUACUCACUCAAUUCAUCAAAAUAAAAUUUUCUUUCAAUUUAAUAUAAAAUAUAGUCACUAAAAACAACAUCAACUUUGCAAAGCUCUCAUAAAAUCAAUAUGAAUUCAAAUCAUUCAAAAUUAAUACUUAUAAAAAUUCUAUCAUUUUUUUUUUAAAUUAUACUUAAAAAUAAUUUUAAAAAAUCAUUUGAUAUAGGUGUGCAAUUUUGUGCAUCAAGGUCUAGUUUUGAUCAUGGUCUAUAAUCGACCCUCUAUGAAUAUUAACCUAAGAUUUAUCUAAAUAAUUUUAUCUUGAUUUCUAUUCUUUAUUUUUAUCCAAAGAUGUCUAAAAUAUUAUUUUUUAAUCUACUUAGAUUUACCUUAUUUUGUAUUUUUUAAGUAAAAAAAAAUCUUUUAUAUAAAAAAAAAUUAUUAACACUCAUUAAUUUUAUUACCUUUUUAUUUUUUAUCUAUAUUUUUAAUAUAAUCUUAUAAAAUAUAUUAAAAUAAGCUUUUUCAUAAUAUGAUACUUUCUUCUUUCUUUCAUCCAAUAGUUGUGUUAUAAUACAAAUAUAUAUAUAUAUAUAUAUAUAUAUAUAAUUUUUUAUUUUUUAUUUUAUAUAUAUAUAUAUAUAUAUUUAUAUAUAAUUUUUUUUAUUAUUAUUCUUUUAGAAAAGAUAAGAAAAAAAUUUAAGAUUACAGUAUAUCAAAUUUAUUUAAAGAUUAUAUUCUAGCCAUGGUAUUUCUAAAAUAAAAAGAUUAAAUAAAGAUUUUUAAUAUCAAAUAUUUUUAGAAAUUUAUAAUCUUUCAUUAUUACUACUAGUAGUAUUAUUUUAUAGGUGAUAUCUCAUGAAGAUAAUGGUUUUCCAUGUAUAAAUUUUAUAUGUUUGGAUUUGAUUUUUUGUACUAACAAUAUUUUAUGUUAUUUAGCAAAAAAUUAUUAAGAAAUUAUGAAGAUGUAUUAGCAUCUAAUAUGGCAAAGGUAGAACUAAUAGAAUGUUUAGAUCCUAAAUAGAUUUUUACUAAAUAUUAAGCAAAGGAUUUAGAAUAUAAUACAUGGCAUUUAUAAAAUAAUGUGAUAAAGAAUCUAGUUAUAUAUUUUCUAGUAUAGUUGAGAAAAUAUUUUUUUAAACAUUCUAUUUUUUUUAAAAAAAUUAUACUUCUUAUCUUGCAAAAUUUGCCACUUCUUAUGAUUAUAUUGAAUAAUAUAUUUUGAUUAUCUAUAAUAUAAGCAUAAUCUUUCUUAUUAGCAUAAAAUUAUUUUCUUGCAUUAUAAAGAAAUUGAAACAUAUAGUAUUAGUUUUUAUGGCUUCUGUGAUUGUCGUUUUACUUAUUCUACAAUUCCUUUCAGAAUAAACAUGUAUAGGGGAAUUCAAACACAAGGAAAGACUAAGUGCAUGAGUUUUACUUGUUAGGGUCAUACAAUUAAUCGUAUUCCGAACCACUGAAAUACUAGUAAACACUACAAUGCUUUCUCCCAGUAACAAUACUCCUUCAUCAACUGAUAACAACAGUGUGCAACCCUGCACUCUCAAAAUACUGCUCAAAACACAAUAAUUUCCAUUCAACACCAAGAAUAAAAGACUUCACUCCAACAAUCUGAAUUCACAUAAUUUUUGUAAUCACAGACUUCCUCUGUCGAAACAUACACAGCUCUCAAUAAACAACAAUCAUAAUCUUCUAAUAACUCCUCAUAUAAUUUGAUCUUUUAGUACUCCAAUUACAUAAUCAAUAACUCAUAAAUCAAUCUCUGAUUUAUUCCAUAGACUCACUUCUCAGUAUUCAAAAACUAUCCAUUACUUUUCAACAACAAAGAAAACAAAGAAACAAAGAGGUAGCACCAAGCUUACCUCGGCUCAUGACUAUCAUAGUUUGGCCCUCCAACAAACUUCUACAACUCCUAUAUAAUUGUUCCUUAUUUCCAUAUUCUAACCGUAAUCUUGUAAUUAACCGCUUUUAAUAACUAAAUCAAUCAUCUAUCCUCUUAAACUGACUAUUUUAUGGACUAUUCGUCUAUUUUACCAAUAUCUUACAGAAAUGAACUAAUAUUUAUUCUACAACUUCUAUAUCUUAAUUUUUAGAAGUAAUUAUAAGAAAAGUAUAGAAGUGGUAAAGUACCUACAAAAAAAAAAAAAAUUAAAUUAAAUUUAAAAAGUUAUUACUUGUAACAAAAAAAAAUCAAUAACUUGAUUUAAAGUUUGAGGAUAAGGCAAGAUGAGCAAUAAUUUCUUUGAAUUUUAUUGGAACUAAUUAUAAAAUUUAUUAAUAAGUACAAUCUUGUUUUAUUUGACAUCAAUUGCUAAUUAUCCAAAUUGUAAUGCAUAUGUUGACAUAUAUUAAUUUCUUUAUCAUAAAAUUUGAUUUUUUUUUUGAUUGUUGUAUAAGUCAUAUCAUAUUUUCUAUAAAUAGAUUGAAAUUCCAUUAAAAUAAAAUCUAAAUAAUCCACAAUAAGGAUUUUUUUUUUUUUAGAAUUAAUAAGAACAAAAAGAUAAAAGAUCCACUUAAUAACAUUCCAACAACUUUGACUUGAGAUGCUUAGAUUGGAUUACUAAGAAGUUGGAAUUGAAUGAUAAGUUGUACUUGGAUGAUAAAACUUUAAAAGUUGAAUGUAGUACUAUCAAACUUCUUUGGAAAUACAACCUUUGAUUCUUUAACUAGUGUACUUAUAAGAGUUACCAAAGGUAGUGCAAUUGUUAAAGAAAUUCUUAUCAUUUCUAUGUCUUCAUGAUUAAUCACUCUUCUGAGAAUGGUGCUUGUGAUAGUUGUGUGGGAUUGCAUUAAAAGUAUUUUGCACAACAAAUAUAGAAAUGAGGUCAAAAGAUUUCUAUAAAAAAUAAAAAAAGAGGCCAAAGCAGAGAAAUAGCUUACUGUUAUGGGACCAUCAGGAUUUGGAAAAACUACCUUUUUGAAUAUUCUGGCUGGGCAAUUGACUGCCUCACUUUGUCUACAUUUAAUGGAAUUUCUUAACAUCAAUGGCCCUCUCUUUUCAAACUCCAAGCUUAAGCUUAUAUAUAUAUAUAUAUAUAUGAAGACUUUUUUUUCUUACAACUUAUGGUAUAUAAGACACUUUAGUUAUUGAAUUAUAAUUGCCAAAGACAUGAAAAUCUAAUGCUAAAGAGCUCUACACGUAAAAAUUGUUAUAUUAUUUAGAGCUAGUUUUAAUACAUUAGUAAUUAUUGGAGAUGCCAAGGUGUGAAGUAUUAACAAGGGUGAAAAGAAGCAACUCUCUAAUUUUUGUUAUGGAUUUCCAAUUGCACCUCAAGAAAUUUUGAGAAUGUCUACUUAUGUUACAAUGGCACAAAUUUAAUAUGAUAGUAAAUAUUGAUAUGGGUUAGAUUUGCUCUAGUUUAAGCUCUCAGAUGUCUUUACUUUGGUUAGAUUAUUUUUGUUAAGGCCUUGUGAAUUAGCAAGUUAAGUUAUGAUGAAAACAAUUAUAAUUAAGAAAUCUAGCCAAUUACAAGGCAAUUUUGUUUCUUUGGUUUAUUCUAUUGAGUCAUACUUCCCUUAAUGUAUUUUAUAGAAAUUAAAGAAUUAAUAGAGAAGAUUUUUUAACAAUUAUAAUAAUAUAAUUUUUGUUCAUUAUAUAUAUAUAUAUAUAUAUAUAUAUAUAUAUAUAUAUAUUCUCUUGGUUAGUUUUUCUUAAUAUCAAUUGUUAUAGUAUAUAGAGUUAAUACAUUAUAAGCAUCAAUUUUUUUUUUUUUUUUUUAUUUCUUUUGCAUAUGUAUCAUGGAUUUCAUUAAUUCUAAUGAUUUUGUUAUAUAUAAUCAUAAAAAUGUAAUAAAGAUAUAACACAUUAAAAAGUAAUAGUAAUGUUAAAAUAAUGUUUAAUUAGAAGUAAUAGUUUACAAUUUCAAAAUACUUUAACACUUCAAAUAAUAAUAAAGAGUUUACUCUUCAUUAAGAAGAAUCAAGUUUAAAUAUUCAAAUUGUAAAAGACAUGAAUCAAAAAAGAAAAAAAAAGUAAAAAAAGAAAAGAAAAAGAAGUCUAAAACAAAAUACUAAUGUACAACUAAGAAAGAAGGAAGAAAAUGAAAACAUAUGUUUACUAAAAAAAAAGUUACAAGAACAUCUAUAAAUUACAAAGAAAAAAAUAACCUUGAAUUAAGACUUCAAUACAAGAAAGGCUUUUUUAGUCUAGGCAUUACAUAGACUAAAAAGGCCCUUGAUCUUAUUUCUAUAUGUAUUAUUUAGAAAGAAGACUAUUUAAAAGCUUCCAAAGGAUCACACCGGUUAUUGGCAAACUUACUGAUUUAUUGACUUCGUCAACUAUUAUACUGGAAAUUAUAACUAUAUAUCCCUGAGUUACUAAUAAUAAUAAUCCAUCAAUCAAUUUAAGCAAUGAACGUCAUAUUAAAUCUUAUUGUGGUACAAGGAAGCUAAACAACGCAGAUUCAUCACAACUCCAAUCUAACUAAAGAUAAUGAGGAUCAUUACAUACAAAACAAAAACAUUUUAAUGCGAAUGUCAAGUGAUCACUGUGAAAAGGAUGUCACAUAUAAAUAAGUAAAUAAAUAACACACUGUCCCCGAAUAAAAACAAUGUUAUAUAGUAUACUGUGUUAAGAAAAGUAGUGGACUUAUAUGUUGGUACUUUGCAUAGGAGUCAUAUACUGCGACUAUGAUAACAACUCAAACAUAGGGGAAAAUAUUACAGUACGUUAAGACACAUCAAAAACACUCAACUUCAGAUUCUACUAUCUAACGUCGUGAAAAGAAACUUAGUUAUUCUCAUCCAAAACAUGAGAAAUCCAGCGUCUCCAAAUAAAAUGCUGCACAUCUUGAAAACUCUUAAAAUCAAUGAAAAACUUCCUAAAGUACAAAGAGAGGGAAUAUCACUGGCUGAAGAAACACAGCCAUACUGAACGCAAAGGUAUCUUUCAACAAUUCGAUGCAAUCUAACUAGAUACCAAAUCCAAACUUUGAAAAUGCUCAUGUAUUAUUUGGACGACGAAUUAAGUAAUUCACUAAUGCAUUCGCUACAUAGUCAACUACUGCAGUAUCGUUCGCAAAUGCGAAGGGCAGGAGUCCCCCGUUGAAAAAUCAGCGCACCCUCCUCGGAAGUGUGGGAACCAGAAGCUGGGGCAGCGGGCGAAUACCACACGCACUGCGGCUCCCUUCGCCAAGCGCCUCCCCUCGCCUCGCCUCGCUACUUUCUCUGCACCCGAAUCUGCAUCCGCAUCCGCAUCCGCGUCUCUCCCUCAGUCCUCAGUCCUCCUCAGUAUGUGUAGCCCUUCACGAACAUCCCCUCCCUCGCUUCCUUGGCCUCGCCCUCUGCUGAGUACUUCCCCAGCUGCGCCAACGAGUUCGCCUUCGCCCUCACCAGCAAUGCCUUCUUCGCCGCCUCCAGGUUCUCUGGUUGCCCCUUCCACGUCUUCAACACCGAGUUCUGCAGCGCCCUCGCGUACGAGAACGACACAUGCCAUGGGUUCGGGCUCUGGUUCAUCGC